rnacentral:rRNA from 1 species
UACGUAGGGUGCGAGCGUUAAUCGGAAUUACUGGGCGUAAAGCGUGCGCAGGCGGUUCGUUGUGUCGGCGGUGAAAGCCCCGGGCUUAACCUGGGAAUGGCCGUCGUAACUGGCGAACUGGAGUGUGGCAGAGGGGGGUGGAAUUCCGCGUGUAGCAGUGAAAUGCGUAGAGAUGCGGAGGAACACCGAUGGCGAAGGCAGCCCCCUGGGCUGACACUGACGCUCAGGCACGAAAGCGUGGGGAGCAAACAGG